AAAAGUACUGAGUAUCGAGUCAGAGUGAAGAAGACUGUCUACAGGGUUUUCCCUGUCCUUUUCCUGGUGAGGCGACCUCUACAGAGGUGACUAAAGAAGGUCUGAUGAAGGCUCCAGAUGAAGAGGUUUUUGAAUGAAGACGACUGCUAUUGGAUCCAGCUGAGACUCUUCGCACAGUGGGUGGGCCUGGACAUAUUUUCUCCCCUAUCCUGUUUAAUCCCACUUCCCUGUUUUGGUGGCAAGCAUCUUUAUUUCCACCCAACUAAGACUCUGUUUGCUUUCUGACUUUAUUGCAAGAUGAGUAUUUGACCCGCAAAAUGUCAAAAAGAAAUACUUUUGUAUCUAGAGAACAUUUUUACAUCUCAAUGGGAGAUCCAGUGGAUAGGUUUACUGUAAUCCUUUCAAAACCAUGUUAUGCGGUAUUGGAUGUGAAUACUCCUGUGUGUUCUCUUCCAAACCAUACAUGGGCAAUCCUCAAAGCAGUAAGGUGGAACCUUAAAUUUGAGUGCUGGUCCAAACUAUUUAGACUCUUUGGGUCCUUUAAGACUGAGUUAAACAAAACACUGAAAAUACUUUUUUCUUGAUGUUUCUGAAAAUUACCUUUGUUGUAGGUAAGAAGUUUUGAGGGAAGCAACACAUCUUUGUGAGGGACUUCUAAGUCUCAUGAGGGAUCAGUAACUAGUGUUGGCAGCUGGCAUUGUCUCUAAGACUUUCAAGGAUGGGGAACAAUUAAAGAACAAGAUGAAGAACUGCUGGUGUAUUUGGCCAAGAAAACUGAGUUGAAUGGAAUUUCUACAAACUUGAACAGAUAUUGACUUGGACAACAAAGUUAAACCAAAAAAAAGUAAAAACAUAAGGUUGAGUUUAAAUGUUGGACAUGUUAGUUGAAAGGUAAUUUUCUUGAAGUUUAGAGAAAUAGAUAUUGGAACUGCAGUUUGUACUGAAAUAUACCUUUUUCAAUGUCCCAUCCCCCAAUAAGCCUAAAGUAGGAUGACAACUACCAAGCUGUCUGAAAGAGCCAAGAUAGUAAACCUUCUAAUAUGAAGUCAAAGCUCACUCACGAGGUAAAGAAGUCCCACUGUCAAUCAGUCAAAUGCAUUUUUUCAUCAUAAUGAAAGAGAGCAUUAACAAUGUGAUUGCAAUAGCAAACUUAGGAAAUUUGAAUUGCUGAAUAUUAUAGAUGAAAAAUCACUAUACAAAUGAAUAUACUGAGGAAUUAAGUGAACAUUAUGCUAUCAUUCAAUAUUCCAGUAGAUACAAAGAAAAACACUCACAAAGGGUCUCUGUGUUGAGCAUGAGAGCAGAGAGAAGCUCAAAUAUCACAGCACAGAAAUCAAUAUUAAAGCAUGCCUCAGGAACUUAGACCUUUAAGAUAAAAGAGGCCAUCAGAGGGAUAGAUCCUUCAGUCUGGUGAGACUCCAGUCUAAAUUACACAAUUAUGGUAUACAUAACAAAGUCCAGAGAUAUAGUGUGUAAAGAACAGUAGGUAGGUGUGGUUUCUCAAUCUGAAAGAAGACUGAGAGAUCUCUCUAAAGGUGCAGUUUUAUAAGCAUUGCAUAUGCGUAGUUUCAUGAUGUUUUGCAUGAACUCAGUGAUGUCUCUGAAGUACCAAAGACUGAUGCACUUAAUUAACUUGUCAGAAAGAGUCAAUAUGAGUGAGGGAGUGAAAGUUCUUUAACUUGGGGCUUUCAUCUUGUCACUAAAGAAAGGUAAGCUUCAUCCUGCAAAUGGUGGAGCCUUUCUUUUGAUUACUCAGAAGCCUUGGCUUCCUGGAAAUGAUAAGAGAUGCAAAUGUUAAAGCCAUUUCAGAAUUAUGGCUUUCAUUGAAAUAACUGCCAGUAAUAAACACACACACACACACACACACACACACACACACAUAUAGAUACAGGUAUUAUGCCUACGAGGAAGUACCCAGGUUGUUGACCUAAAUAAUUAAGAUUCACUAGUUAGAAGAAGUAGUGAACAACAAACAAAAUCUUCCAGCUAAUUAAUACCUUUCAAUAGAUGUGUACAUUUUCAAGUAACAAAAGUACUAAGUCUUUAUCAUGCACAAUAAGGUAAAAAUUAGACGCAAUUGGCUGCAUAAUUUAGAAGAUACAUAUGGUGGAUUACUUAAGAAGUUCAGUACAUCAUCUUUGGAGAAAGACCAAGUAGACAAGUAAUGCUGUUAAUUUUUAUUAUUUGUUUUGUCAAU